rnacentral:sRNA from 1 species
UUCCAUCCCUGGUCUGUUUAUUUGGUUUUUCACAAAUUUGAAAAAUGCCCCAGCAAAUUCGCGUGGUACAAUACAUCCAAUGCAAAAUGUACCAGGUGGACUUCGUGAAAAAGGCCAACACAUGGCAGUGUAAAGUUUGCCGGCAAA